GGUCCCGUAGCUCAGCCUGGUUAGAGCGCCGCUCUGAUAAGGCGGAGGUCCGGUGUUCGAAUCACCGCGGGACCA
rnacentral:tRNA from 1 species